UACGGGGGGGGUAAGCGUUGUUCGGAAUUACUGGGCGUAAAGGGCUCGUAGGCGGCCAACUAAGUCAGACGUGAAAUCCCUCAGCUUAACUGGGGAACUGGCGUCUGAUACUGGAUGGCUUGGAUUCGGGAGAGGAAUGCGGAAUUCCAGGUGUAGCGGUGAAAUGCGUAGAUAUCUGGAGGAACACCGGUGGCGAAGGCGGCAUCCUGGACCGACACUGACGCUGAGGCGGCGGAAAGCUAGGGUAGCAAACGGGGAUUAAGAAACCCGAG
rnacentral:rRNA from 1 species